rnacentral:lncRNA from 12 species
UGUGCCGGGGCUGGCAAUGCAGAGGGUAAUGCAGCCUAGAGGGGGAGCCGGGGGUGAUCCAAACACACACAAGGUGCGUGGGUGACCGCACACCGGGACGGAGGAGUUUGGGUAUGAUGAGCACACAGGACCCUGGGUCUGACCUCACCUGGAAAUCAAGGUGGGCUUCCCUGAGGAGGUGAUGUUGGCGACGUGAGCAUGAAGGAUGAGAAGGAGCUGAGUUCUUCUCAGCUGGGGAAGAGAAUUCUGCGCUAUUUAUUGCUGCGUAACAAACUGCCACAAAACUUAGGGGCUUAAAACAACCAUUUUAUUUUACUCACCAUUUUGUGGGUCAGGAAUCUGGGAGGGCUCAGCGGGGCCACUUGGUGCCAGCUGGGCGGCAGGAUCCCUUCCAAGGUGGCCUCUUCCCCACCUGGCCGGCAUUCUGGUGCUCCCGGCUGUCUUUCUCUCGCCCACGGCGCCUUCUCCUCCAGAACCUCUCCACAUGCCUGGGCUUCCUCCAGGGUGGCAGCCGCCCCGCAGACCGAGUUCUCACACGGAGGCUCGGGGCUCGAGGAGACCAACGCAGAAGCUGCGAGGCCCCUCACAGGCUAGCUCUGGGCCGGCGUCACCCCCACCGCACCCCACCGUCGAAGCAGACAGGCCGCUCCACGUUCAAGGGGGGAACACAGUGCCCCGUUCUUGCUGAAAGGACAUCCGAAGCCGACACUACAGUGUCACUUAAAAGACAUUCCCUCAAGAGCAAAGAGAAAAGACAUCCCAUCAAGGACGAAGAGCGGAGACAUCCCAUCAAGAGCAAAGGAGAAGUGAUGGAAGAGUUGAGUGUCAAACCCCAGCAACGUCAUCACAUUUAA